GGAGGGGUGCAAGCGUUAAUCGGAAUUACUGGGCGUAAAGCGCGCGUAGGGCGGCUUUGUAAGUCAAAUGUGAAAGCCCCGGGGCUCAACCUGGGAAUUGCAUUCGAAACUGCAGAGCUAGAGUAUGGUAGAGGGAAGUGGAAUUUCCGGUGUAGCGGUGAAAUGCGUAGAUAUCGGAAGGAACACCAGUGGCGAAGGCGACUUCCUGGGCCAAUACUGACGCUGAGGUGCGAAAGCGUGGGGAGCAAACAGAAUUAGAUACCCUGGUAGUCCACGCCGUAAACGAUGAGAACUAGAUGUCGGGAGGAUCUGCCUUUCGGUGUCGCAGCUAACGCGUUAAGUUCUCCGCCUGGGGAGUACGCCGGCAACGGUA
rnacentral:rRNA from 1 species